UACGUAGGGUGCGAGCGUUGUCCGGAAUUAUUGGGCGUAAAGAGCUCGUAGGCGGCUUGUCGCGUCAGAUGUGAAAGCCCGGGGCUUAACUCCGGGUCUGCAUUCGAUACGGGCAGGCUAGAGUUCGGUAGGGGAGAUCGGAAUUCCUGGUGUAGCGGUGAAAUGCGCAGAUAUCAGGAGGAACACCGGUGGCGAAGGCGGAUCUCUGGGCCGAUACUGACGCUGAGGAGCGAAAGCGUGGGGAGCGAACAGG
rnacentral:rRNA from 1 species